CUGGGCCGUAAAGCGCACGCAGGCGGUCUGUCAAAGUCAGAUGUGAAAUCCCCGGGGCUCAACCUGGGAACUGCAUUCUGAUACUGGCAGGCUAGAGUCUCGUAGAGGGGGGUAGAAUUCCAGGUGUAGCGGUGAAAUGCGUAGAGAUCUGGAGGAAUACCGGUGGCGAAGGCGGCCCCCUGGACGAAGACUGACGCUCAGGUGCGAAAGCGUGGGGAGCAAACAGGAUUAGAUACCCUGGUAGUCCACGCCGUAAACGAUGUCGAUUUGGAGGUUGUGCCCUUGAGGCGUGGCUUCCGGAGCUAACGCGUUAAAUCGACCGCCUGGGGAGUACGGCCGCAAGGUUAAAACUCAAAUGAAUUGACGGGGGCCCGCACAAGCGGUGGAGCAUGUGGUUUAAUUCGAUGCAACGCGAAGAACCUUACCUGGUCUUGACAUCCACAGAACUUUCCAGAGAUGGAUUGGUGCCUUCGGGAACUGUGAGACAGGUGCUGCAUGGCUGUCGUCAGCUCGUGUUGUGAAAUGUUGGGUUAAGUCCCGCAACGAGCGCAACCCUUAUCCUUUGUUGCC
rnacentral:rRNA from 1 species